rnacentral:rRNA from 1 species
GUGCCAGCAGCCGCGGUAAUACGAAGGGGGCUAGCGUUGUUCGGAAUUACUGGGCGUAAAGCGCGCGCAGGCGGCCUUUCAAGUCGGUGGUGAAAUCCCAGAGCUCAACUCUGGAAUUGCCAUCGAAACUGUAAGGCUUGGGUACGGGAGAGGUGAGUGGAAUUCCGAGUGUAGAGGUGAAAUUCGUAGAUAUUCGGAAGAACACCAGUGGCGAAGGCGGCUCACUGGCCCGUUACCGACGCUCAGGCGCGACAGCGUGGGGAGCAAACAGGAUUAGAAACCCCAGUAGUCC